GAUGAACGCUGGCGGCGUGCCUAAUACAUGCAAGUCGAACGCGAGCACUUGUGCUCGAGUGGCGAACGGGUGAGUAAUACAUAAGUAACCUGCCCUAGACAGGGGGAUAACUAUUGGAAACGAUAGCUAAGACCGCAUAGGUACGGACACUGCAUGGUGACCGUAUUAAAAGUGCCUCAAAGCACUGGUAGAGGAUGGACUUAUGGCGCAUUAGCUGGUUGGCGGGGUAACGGCCCACCAAGGCGACGAUGCGUAGCCGACCUGAGAGGGUGACCGGCCACACUGGGACUGAGACACGGCCCAGACUCCUACGGGAGGCAGCAGUAGGGAAUUUUCGGCAAUGGGGGAAACCCUGACCGAGCAACGCCGCGUGAAGGAAGAAGGUUUUCGGAUUGUAAACUUCUGUUAUAAAGGAAGAACGGCGGCUACAGGAAAUGGUAGCCGAGUGACGGUACUUUAUUAGAAAGCCACGGCUA
rnacentral:rRNA from 1 species